CCUCCACCUCCACCGCCACGGCCGCCUCUCCCUAGGGUUUUUCGGCGGGCUCUCUUCGCUACCAUAACAAUAAACAUCCACCUUCCGUUCAUCUCAAUAUUCAGCUUUAGAUUUUUGAACGGCUAAAUCAUCGAAUCCAGAAGGGAAGACCGUGUCCGAAUCGUGGUGGCCGGAGACCGAGGCACUGGAAAGUCGAGCUUGAUUGUGACGGCCGUUGCUGAGACUUUCCCGACGAAUGUGCCACGGCUGUUGCCGCCUACUCGGUUGCCGGAAGAUUUCUACCCCGACCGUGUUCCUAUAACCAUCAGAUACACCUCCGCGACCCCAGAGGAUAAAGGUAAACUAGCAGAAGAGCUGAAACGAGCCGAUGCGAUUGUGCUUACUUAUGCAUGUGAUCAGCCUGAAACCCUUAACAGAUUGAGUACUUUCUGGUUUCCGGAACUUCCGCAAUUAGAGGUGAAAGUGCCUGUCAUAGUAGUCGGCUGAAAGUUGGAUUUAAGAGAUGACUACCAGAAAGUGAGUUUUUUCAAGUGAUUUCACCGAUAAUGCAACAGUUUCGGGAGAUUGAAACUUGUAUUGAGUGUUCAGCUUUUAAACACAUUCAGUGGGCCCUUAUGACACUCCUAGACCCAGCUUAUAGUUUGGAGAACUUGAUAUACAUUGGGUAUCCCAGUGAUCCUUCAUCUGCAGCCCGUGUGACUAGGAGAAGGCACCUAGACCGAAAGAAGCAACAAUCAGAAAGAAAUGUUUUCCAGUGCUUUGUUUUCAGGCCAGCUAAUGCUGGGAAAUCUGCGUUGAUGAAUUCUUUCCUUGGCAGGGAAUAAAGAAAAUCUACUCUUGCGAGAAAUCCCUGAAGAUGGAGUUGCAAAAUUGCCGUCUACCAAAGUGUCUUUGGCUGCCUGUGACAUAGCGGUAUUUGUUCAUGACAGGUGAAACACGGGAGUAUACCCGUAUCUGAAAAUAAAUUCAAAAACAGAUUCGUGCGGGAGUAUACCCGUAUCUGGCACCCACACCUGCAUCUAGUAACAUAGGUCAGGGGCAAGUACUAUUCUGCCUUUCUUUUCUGAACAAAAUAACAUUAAAGUGCACGAUGCACUUAAAUCAUCGAUGUAGUUCGACACUUCGGCUUACUGUUCCUUGGCUGUGCUUUUGUUGGAAGAUUAAUGUGAGCCGGAAAUUAGGGAAAGGUUGGAGCUGCCGUAGCCGUCGUUGGGUUUGCAGCUUGCCGUGUAUAUGCUGCGAGGAAAAGCGCAUCCGAUUGAGGGAUGAAGACUCUCCCAUCUCUGACAAUAGACUCGGUAAUGUCAUCUUCGUAGAAACAUCCAUGCCUGACUUCUAUUAAGCUUCUGUGCCGUAAUUUCCGGCCAUACCGGAAGUCUAUACGCGUAGGAAGACGAAUGAACUGUAAAAUCUACCGUCAUUUUAAUGGCGGAAGAGUUUGACGUUUAGAAAUAUUAAGAGGAAAAAAGAUAGAU